rnacentral:rRNA from 1 species
AGAGUUUGAUCCUGGCUCAGGACGAACGCUGGCGGCGUGCUUAACACAUGCAAGUCGAACGGAAAGGUCUCUUCGGAGAUACUCGAGUGGCGAACGGGUGAGUAACACGUGGGUAAUCUGCCCUGCACUUCGGGAUAAGCCUGGGAAACUGGGUCUAAUACCGAAUAGGACCAUAAGGCGCAUGCCUAUUGGUGGAAAGC